AGAGUUUGAUCCUGGCUCAGGACGAACGCUGGCGGCGUGCUUUAUACAUGCAAGUCGAACGAUGAAGUUCCUUCGGGAAUGGAUUAGUGGCGAACGGGUGAGGAACACGUGAGAAACCUGCCUUUCAUUCUGGGAUAACACCGGGAAACCGGUGCUAAUGCCGGAUACUCCAUCUUGGCGGCAUCGCCGAGCUGGGAAAAAAUUUUGAUGAAAGAUGGUCUCGCGGCCUAUCAGCUAGUUGGUGAGGUAAAGGCUCACCAAGGCGACGACGGGUAGCCGGCCUGAGAGGGCGACCGGCCACACUGGGACCGAGACACGGCCCAGACUCCUACGGGAGGCAGCAGUAGGGAAUAUUGGGCAAUGGGCGAAAGCCUGACCCAGCGACGCCGCGUGAGGGAUGAAGGUCUUCGGAUUGUAAACCUCUUUCAGUAGGGAAGAAGCGAAAGUGACGGUACCUAAAGAAGAAGCACCGGCUAACUAUGUGCCAGCAGCCGCGGUAAUACAUAGGGUGCAAGCGUUGUCCGGAAUUAUUGGGCGUAAAGAGCUCGUAGGUCGUUUGUCGCGUCGAUUGUGAAAAUCUGAGGCUCAACCUCAGACCUGCAGUCGAUACGGGCAAACUAGAGUGUGGUAGGGGAGACUGGAAUUCCUGGUGUAGCGGUGGAAUGCGCAGAUAUCAGGAGGAACACCAAUGGCGAAGGCAGGUCUCUGGGCCAUAACUGACACUGAGGAGCGAAAGUGCGGGGAGCGAACAGGAUUAGAUACCCUGGUAGUCCGCACCGUAAACGGUGGGCACUAGUUGUGGGAACCUUCCACGGUUUCCGCGACGCAGCAAACGCAUUAAGUGCCCCGCCUGGGGAGUACGAUCGCAAGAUUAAAACUCAAAGGAAUUGACGG
rnacentral:rRNA from 1 species